rnacentral:lncRNA from 1 species
AAAUUAUAUAUUCAGAAACUACAUCCUCGCAUGAAUCUAAUGAUAUAUUAUUUGUUACAUAUAAUACAUAUUUAAGUAGUUAAAUUAACGAUCUAGAACUAUGUGCAUGCCCUAUACACUUGGACGGAUGAAGUAUCAUGCAUGUCAACUAGGCAAUUUCGAUGAGGUGGCAUAGAAUUAAAUGAGGAAAGAGAGGGUUGAGUAUCAUAUCAUGAUACCGUAUCAUAUUAAACGAUAUGCUACUAUGUGUCUUGCAUGGCAAUAAAUGAACAAACAUAUGAUACUGUGCAUUACGGAUAUGGUAUCAUACACUAGUAUCAUAUGGAUGAUACUAGUAUAUGAUACUACCCAUUACAAUCAGCCUAAUGAGCUGAUAAAUUAACACGACGCAUGACAUACAAGAGUAGUACUAAUUAAUAGGAGUAAUUUUGUUGGCGCCUUCAACCUUGUCUAUUGUAGAAACGCACGUAAAUUUGACUGUGCCUUCUAAACCAUGACGUAGGAAGUAGAACAAAUGGAAGACCCACGUUGAUUUAAAGGCACUGUAUCUUCUCUGAGCACCUCAAUUCAAAUUCUUAGCUGAAGUGGAGCGAGAGGCGUGAAGGCAGAAUUUAUACAAUGCAGUUGAAGCUCACUCAAAAUAACUGAACAAAACAUUUUAAUAGUCUAGUUGAUGCAAUAGCCAAAAAAAUAGAGCAAUUCAUUCAUAGGUAAAAUGUGCCCGAAUUCAUUUUUACCAGAAGUCGUACCCGUCCUUUUCUACAUUAAGCGUAUAAAAAAAUACAUGCACAUUCAUAACAUAGUCUCCCUUUGUAUGACACACUAACACUAUAAAUAGUGGGACAGUAGGUGGCCAACUGCAACCAUUGCUUGUGUGGCAGAUACAAUCAUAAACCACACGGGGCCUUUGUAAUUAACAUAUCAACAUCAAAACUCACAGCAUAAGCAUAAGUUAAAUCGAUGCUUGGCCCCGUCUCUUUUGGGUAGCCUCUACGGUUAGCUUUAGCUGAGUAUAUGUACUCAGGACGAUGCUAGAUUUAGUUGGAAUGAGAUGUGUUGGGAAUGGAAGUAUAUGUUUAUGCUAUCAUCGGACGACUAGCUCACUUCAGUGAUGUACGUCUUCGGCGAUGUCAGCGGGAAGACAAGUACUGCUGUGUGGUAUUGUCUCUAGCAAACAAGUUGCGACUUGCAAGCAUAUUGCAUCAGGUCUUCACAUACUGAGGAGGCGAGCCUCCCUAGAAUCCGAAGUAAUUAUGUUGUUUCUCGCUUUGUCAUCUCUAAGGCCGCGGUCGGAGAACCUGAGCAAAACUAGAACGUUUUGCCGUUUAUAAAUUCCUUUUUUUAUAUGUCUUGCUCUCUUGCCAUGAUAGUUGUAUUCUUUGGCAUUGUCCAGUGUGGACCAAGUUUGUUUUAACUUGCAGUUUUAUAUGAUGAACAUGCACUACUCGUAAAUAGGGGUUUCGUCCGGAGCAUUAGUCCCAAUCUGAUUUUGGACCGGGAAUAAUGUGACCACUAGUUCUGGUUCUAAAGGUCGGGCUUUAGACCUGGUUCAUUUGUAACCUUUAGUCCCAGUUGGUGUUAUCAACUAGGACUAAAGGUGUGGUGGCAGGGUUGCGUCAGACUUGGGCCCCUGUGACCCCCUUUAGUCUCGGUUGGUGCUACCAACCGGGACUAGUUGUCCAUCUCUAGUCCCGGUUUGUAUCACAAACCGAAACUAAAGAUGUUACUAUAUAUAGUGCUUCGUUCAGCCCGAGCCCAAGAGCUAUGUUUUCUCUGUUUUCUUCAUUCUCUCCUCUUUUCUUCCCCUUGCUCGAGCUCAUCCUUCAUUUUUGCCAAGAUUUGUCAAGAUUUGAGGCACCCCCAUCUAUCCCAGUGUUUACAAAGGUUAGCAACUUUGUUCUUUCAUCUCUCAUUGCUAGGUUAACUCGUGCAAUGCUCUAUAAAUAUAGUGAUUUGUGGGUUUUAGUUUGAGAGUAAUUAUGUGAGAAUUUAUUUCAUUUAUAUGCAAUUUGAGCUUAAAUUAACUUCUUAGUUUGCAUAUGUGUAGGUGUGGUUUACUUAGUGCCUUUCUGUCUCCGUCAUAACCACCGUUCAUCACCCGCACCGUCCCGUCACCGGCACCACCUUGAUGAGCCUCUUGUUCUUAUAAAAAAAGGAAAAUUUUAUCGCCAAAAAAUACAAAUAAAAAGUAAACUACGUGUCAUGAUGGUUGUACUAUUUGGUAUCCUUCAGUGCGGCCGAGUUUGUUUUAACUCACGGUUUUAUAUGUUAAACGGUUUGUUGAAAAAAACUGCCGCAAAAGAAAAUGUAAGUCAAAAAAGUAAUUUACGGUUUUAUAUGAUGAACAUGUGGUUUCAAACAAAAAAACUGGAACAUUUUGUUGCGAAAGAAAAUAAUUACUCUCUGCAUUCCAUAAUGUAGUGGGUAUAGAAUUUGAAAAGUCAAACUUUGUAAACUCUGACCAAGUUUAUGGACAAAACUAAUUGUGUCUACAAAUCAAAAAUCUAUACAAUAUGAAACUACAUAUUAUGACGAAUAUAAUGAUAUAUAUUUGACAUUCUAGAUGUAAAUAUUAUUCUCACAAACUUGGUCAAAAUUGGUGAUGCUUGUUAGCUAGCGGAUCUCCAGCCGAGCGUUUCGUUUUGCAUGUUCAUAAUAUAAUGUAAUUAGCGGAAUGAUAGCUCCCAUCUAUAGUACAUACCUCCUUAAUUUCUACCUAGAUUACAAUUUUACUUACACAGGUUGUUGUAGCAUGCAGGUGGGCCUGAAAUUCGUCUCUCAGGUAGAUUCGCCAUUUCCUUUGCGAGGAAGGGAACGCAUCGCGAAAAUUGACACUUCCCAGAAAAUGCAUCCGAGAACCGCUUCCUGGGGUCAUGGCCCGGGCAAGAGGGAUAAUGUCCCUCACCGAGCUAUAUAACUAUGGCGUAGCUUGACGACUGCCACUACCGUGGGCCAGCCUCCGCUGGCCCAUGGUAUCCGGGUUUUCAUUGGGCCUAUAAUUUUGUUAAAAAAUCUCAGCACUUUGCAGUUAUUAAAUACAUGUUCGUAGCAUCGCGGUUGUUCGAUUUGUACAUCUCUCAUAUGGUGGUUAAAUCAGGUAGCCAAAAAUUCUUCAAUGGUCUUACUACUAUGCACCCCGUAAUUCUUAGCUCGCCGGCAGAGCGGUUUGUGUUCCAUAUCAAUAAUAUAAUGUAAUUAGCAGAAUGAUAGCGCUCUUGUGUCAUACUCCCUCUAUAGUGAUCUAAACACUUUUACAUUCUUCUUGGAGACGUCGUUCGGGUCCAUCCUACCUCUUUCCAUCUCACUACUUCUUGGGUGAAAACCCUAACUACGGCGGCCACGACGCUCAAUGUGUCGUGUCCUUCCUGAAGGUAUCGCCAUGAGAGCUUUGAGAUGGUGGGCAACGUUUGGAUUCGUUGGCAGGUGCAGAUAGUGUGCCCCUCUUCCUCAGGGGGGGCAUUUGUUCGAGGGGAAACCUAGAUCUGGCUCUCUCAGAUCGGAUGAUGUCGAAGACAGUGAUGUUGUUUAUACUAUUCGAGGGCAUUUCCUGGAGCAGAUGUUCACUGGAGGGGCCAACAAGUGAGCGUGUUGCAUCUACCACAUUGAAGAUGGCGGAUCUCGACAUCGUUGAGAAGUGGAGUCUCAGCGUUAGACGCGGUUUGACGGAAGCGGUCAUGAUGGUGACACUGUCUGGUGUCAUGAUGACAUCGACGACAAAUGGGUCUGGCAAAGUCUAUGGAAUGAUCCCUCCUGAAGAUGGCACGGGGGCAGAUGGUGGCAGCGGAUCCUAAAGUAUGUGCAUGCAGUGCCUGUUGUUUGUGCAAUUCCCGGAGAGAUAACAUGUGCACGUAUUUAUUGCUACCAGAUAAAUGUAUAAGGAAAUACAUAUGUUACGAUUUGUACGACACACAAACAUCUGUAAGAGAAGUAUUACGUCGUCGUCCUAAUGGUUAGCACACCCUCCUCCCCUCGUGUCCUUUUUUCGACAAAAAUAAAAAUUGAGAGAGAAACUCACUUUCUAGCGGAUAUCCAUUUCAGGUCUCAGAUCUAAAUGCUCCUGAAAUCUGGACUGCCCCUUGUUCUGGAGAUUCGCGCGCACUAUUGAAUUCUUCUAUGUAUUCCGAUUUAUGCUUCCAUUUUGGAACCGUACUAGUAUGACGUAUGUCCGUCUGUUUGACGUUGGUCCAGCGGGAGUUAACUGAGACAUUAUGCCCAUUGCAUUAAAUUCUGGGAUAAGUAUAUUUUUCGUCCUCAAAUUCUGGCGAUAGUAUAGGAAUCGUCCCUCAACUCCGAAACCGGUAAAACUCAGUCCCUCAACUAUUUAAACCGGAUACUUUUCGUCCCUCGCGGCACUUUAAGUGGUUUUGGUAUGACGUGGACCCGGUUUUGACUAAAACUGUACACGUGGAUUGUUUUGACCGCCAUGUCACUUAAGUGUCCCUAAUCUCUCUCUCUCUCCCGUGCAUUCUCUCGAUCCCAUCUCACACACGAACCCCAAACCUAGCAGCGGCGGCGGCGGCGAAUCGCCCAUGGUCUGCGGCGGCGGCGGUUGCGGCAGCCGGCGGUGAGGCGGAACUACGGUGGCGCGGCGGCGGGGCCUGUGAGGCGCGGCGGUUGCUCCUGUGAGGCGCGACGGUGGCUGGCUGUUUGGGCACGGGAGCGACGGCAGCGACGAUUUAGGCGGCGACGGCGAUUCAGGCUGGGGUCGCCCGUUGAAUCCCUUGGCUGGGCAAGCAGAUGGCAACCUCGCUCACUUCAAGUCGCUCCCGUGGGUCUUGUUCUUCACCAUCGAUCCCUCUCGGUCGCUCCUCCCCCAUUCCCUACCGUGAGGGGCCAUUGGAUUAUCAGCCACCGCGCCUCACAGGCCCCGCCACCGCGCCGCCGUAGUUCCACCUCACCGCCGGCCGCCGCAACCGCCGCCGCCGCAGACCAUGAGCGAUUCGCCACCGCCGCCGCCGCUGCUAGGUUUAGGGUUCGUGUGUGAGAUGGGGAUCGAGAGAAUGCACGGGAGAGAGAGAGAGAUUGGGGACACUUAAGUGACAUGGCGGUCAAAACAAUCCACGUGUACAGUUUUAGUCAAAACCGGGUCCACGUCAUACCAAAACCACUUAAAGUGCCGCGAGGGACGAAAAGUAUCCGGUUUAAAUAGUUGAGGGACUGAGUUUUACCGGUUUCGGAGUUGAGGGACGAUUCCUAUACUAUCGCCAGAAUUCGAGGACGAAAAAUAUACUUAUCCCUUAAAUUCUGAACGACCCCUGGUUCUUCACCAUCAGCUAGAAGAGCUGUGCGAGGUUCACCCGAUGGGGAGUAUAUUAUCUUGUGGUUCAUGACCAAGAUAUUGGGCUAGUUGUGUCUGCUCGAUCAACAGGAAAAUUGGACCCUCAAACAGCUGGACUAAGAGUUACUCUGCUGAGAAUAUGAGAUGAGGAGAACGAAGAAACCAUGGCUGGAAUGAUACGGGUUACUACUCUUUUGCAUGAAAUAUCGGACUUAAACCCCCAUUGUGUGCCUGGAUUUCGGUGUCUGCCUCCCCAACUCAAAUCUCUGUAUGCGCUGCACUAGCCAAGGGGAAGUGAGUGCAUGGGGGCACAUGUGGAGCAAGCUGGCGGCAGCGUCCCAUGGGUUUCCGCCGAACAUUAGUCACCUGCAGCAGACCAACAAUAGCUUCAGAAUCUAGAGGACAUGAAAUUUAAUAAUCGGGUAUAUCACACUUGACUGUCCGCCGGAUCCACGGGGAAAUUCAUCUACGAUUUUGCAAAACAAUCUCGGACCACAUGAGAUGUGUUGGUAAUAAACAUUUUUCUGUUUAUAAAUUCUAUUUUUUUACGUGCUUUCCUAUCGUGCCAUGAUGGUUGUACUCUUUGGUAAUAUUGUUCAGUGUGGACCAAGUUUGUUGUAAUUUACAGUUUUAUCUGAUGAACAUGUGGUUUCUCAGGAAAAAAGAGGAACAUUUUGCCGCCAAAAAGUAGAAAUACAAAGUCAACUACGUGACAUGAUGGUUGUACUCUUUGGUAUCCUCCAGUGUGGACGAGUUUGUUUCAAGUCACGGUGUUAUAUGAUGAACACACUGUUUAAAAAAUGGCACGUUUUUCCACAAAAGAAAAUGAAAGUAAAAAAAGUAAGCUACGGUUUAAUAUGAUGAACACAUGGUUUCAUACAAAAAAAUGAAACAUUUUGCCGCAAAAGAGAAUAAAUACUCUCUUCAUUCCAUAAUGUAGUGCGUAUAGAUUUUUUGAAAAGUCAACCUUUGUAAACUCCGACCAAGUUUAUGGAGAAAACUGUUUAUAUCUACAAAUCAAAAAUUUAUAAAAUAUGAAACUACAUCUUAUGACGAAUCUAAUGAUAUAUGUUUGACAUAUCCUAGAUGUAAAUAUUUUUCUUACAAACUUGAUCAAAGUUGGCGAUGCUUGACAGCUGGUGGAUCUCCGACAGGGGAAUUUGUGUUGCAUGUCCAUCCAUAACAUAAUGUAAUUAGUGGCAUGACAACGCGGAAAUUGCUUUUGGAGGCCGAGCUCCAUGGAGGCCUUUAAAUUCAAACUUCAAUUUCAUGAAAAUUCAUAUUUUGAUAUUUCAAAAAAUUCUGAAAAACCAUACAUAGAUAUAUGAAGGUAUAAUACACAAGUUUUUAAAUUUUCAGAACUAAAUAAGUUGAAAUAAGGGCUAUGCAAAAAAGACAAACAUGAAGCUUUUUAAUACAUGACAAUAUUCAUCUUUCUAGAUCAUGAAUUUGUCUUUUUGUACAGGUCGCGUCUCAAAGUAUUUUGGCCUGAAAUUUGACACACACACACACACACGGUUUAGUUGUAUAAUUUUUUCUAGAUUUUUUAGAAUCAAAAUUUCCAAAUUUUGAAUUUUCAAAAAAAUCGGCCUCCAUGGCUCCCGGGAGCCAAACAUCCGCUCUCAUGAUAGCGCCGUUAUGUAGUACGCACCUCCUUAAUUGCUACCUAGAUUACAAUUUUGCCCUUUAAAACAUGUUUCUUCCUAACAUUUGGUGGUGGUACUCCUAAGCAUCUUUGUUUAAGUACCAAUUGAUGUUGUCCAUCGUAUUAAUUAGAACAAAUGAAGGGCCCAGAUUGAUUUAAAGGUACCGUAUCUUCUCCGAGCACCUCGACCCAAAUUCUUAGCUGAAGUGGAGCCAGAGGCAUGAAGGCAGAAUUUGUACAAUGCAGCCGAUGCUCACUCAAAAUAACUGAACAUAACAUUUUUAAUAGUUUAGUUGAUGCAAUAGCCAAAAAAUAGAGCAAUUCAUUCACAGAUGAAAUGUGCCCGAAUUCAUUUCUACCAGAAGUCGUACCCGUCCUUUUCUAACAUUAAACGUAUAAAAAAUACAUGUACAUUCAUAACAUAAGCUCCUUUGUAUGGCACACUAACACUGUAAAUAGUGGGGCGGUAGGUGGCCAAUUGCAACCAAUACUCGCGGCGCGGAUACAAUCAUAAACAACACAGGGCCUUUGUAACAUAUCAACAUCAAAACUCACAGCAUAAGUCUCUCUUGUGUAGCCUCUACGAUUAACUUUAGCUGAGUAUAUGUACCCCAACGAUGCUAGACUUAGUAGGAAUGAGAUGUGUUGGGAAUGGAAGUAUAGGUUUAUGCUAUCAUUUCGGUGAUGUACGUCUUGUAUGUCAUCAGGAAGACAAGUACUGCUAUGCAGUAUUGUCUGUAGCAAACAAGUUGCGACUUGCAAGCAUAUUGCAUCAGGUCUUCACAUACUUGUUGCUCCAGCAACUGAGGAGGCAAGCCUCCCUCGAAUCCAAAGUAAUUAUGUUGUUUCUCGCAUUGUCAUCUCUAAGGCCGCGGUCGGUGAACCGGAGCAAAACUAGAACAUUUUUCUGUUUAUAAAUUCCUUUUUCAUUAUGUGUCUCGCUGUCUUGCCAUGAUGGUUGUACUCUUUGGUAUUGUCCAGUGUGGACCAACUUUGUAUUAACUUCCAGUUUUAUAUGAUGAACAUGUGGAUUCUCAACAAUAAAGGAACAUUUUCUGCCAAAAAAUACAAAUAAAAAGUGAACUGUGUGUUAUGAUGGUUAUACUAUUUGGUAUCCUCCAGUGUGGCCGAGUUUGUUUUAACUCGCGGUUUUAUAUGAUGAACAGUUUAUUCAAAAAAAAAA